rnacentral:rRNA from 1 species
GAUGAACGCUGGCUGCGUGCCUAAUACAUGCAAGUCGAGCGAACAGACGAGGGACUUUCUCCUCUGACGUUGUCGGCGGACGCGCGAGUAACACGUGGAUAACCUACCUAUCACACUGGGAUAACUUAGGGAAACCGGAUCUAAUACCUGCUAAUAUAUUGCACCUCAUGGUUCACUAGUGAAAUUCGAGUUUUCUUUCACUUAUAGAUGGAUCCGCGCCGCUUUAGCUAGUUGGUAAGUUAACGGCUUACCAAGGCAACGAUGCGUAGCCGACCUGAGAGGGUGGUCGGCUCCACUGGAUCUGAAACACGGCCCAGUCUAAUAUGGGACGCAGCAGUAGAGUAACGUCCGCAAUGCGCGAAAGCCUGACGGGACAACGCCGCGUGGGGUAUAAAGGUCUUCGGCUCGUAGAACUCUGCUACUAGGGAAGAGCAAUAGUGUAAGUAACUAUGCACGUAUUGACGGUACCUAAUCAGAAAGGCCCGGCUAACUCCGUG